rnacentral:rRNA from 1 species
AGCAGUCGCCACGGUAAUACGUAGGUCCCGAGCGUUGUCCGGAUUUAUUGGGCGUAAAGCGAGCGCAGGCGGUUAGAUAAGUCUGAAGUUAAAGGCUGUGGCUUAACCAUAGUACGCUUUGGAAACUGUUUAACUUGAGUGCAAGAGGGGAGAGUGGAAUUCCAUGUGUAGCGGUGAAAUGCGUAGAUAUAUGGAGGAACACCGGUGGCGAAAGCGGCUCUCUGGCUUGUAACUGACGCUGAGGCUCGAAAGCGUGGGGAGCAAACAGGAUUAGAUACCCCAGUAGUCCCUGUCUCUUAUACA